rnacentral:rRNA from 1 species
AAAUUGAAGAGUUUGAUCAUGGCUCAGAUUGAACGCUGGCGGCAGGCCUAACACAUGCAAGUCGAACGGUAACAGRAAGMAGCUUGCUKCUUUGCUGACGAGUGGCGGACGGGUGAGUAAUGUCUGGGAAACUGCCUGAUGGAGGGGGAUAACUACUGGAAACGGUAGCUAAUACCGCAUAACGUCGCAAGACCAAAGAGGGGGACCUUCGGGCCUCUUGCCAUCGGAUGUGCCCAGAUGGGAUUAGCUUGUUGGUGGGGUAACGGCUCACCAAGGCGACGAUCCCUAGCUGGUCUGAGAGGAU